CGCGCCGCGCUGGCCGCGAGCGCCGCCGCGAGCGCGAGCCGCAGCCAGGGCGCGAAGCCCGCGAACGACGCGCCGACGAAACCGGCAAGCGCCGCGAGCGCGGACGCGAACGCGAUCGCGCGCACG
rnacentral:rRNA from 1 species